rnacentral:tRNA from 1 species
UAGCUCAGUCAGUUAGAGCAUGGUGCUGAUAACACCAAGGUAACAAGUUCGAUCCCUGU